CCGGCCACCGCCGCAGCGGCCACGCGCGACAUUAGGACUGUGGCCGAUGCUAAUAAACCACGCUACCGUCAGAGAUUCGUGGGGUAGGGAAGUCGGACCUCUGUUGGCCGCCGAGUGUCCCCUAGGACUGCGUGCCGCGCGCGGACAGGGUUGGGAAAUGCUGAAGUCAGAAAAUUCAAUUUAAGCAAAAGAAUGUGGAAAAGACUACAGAGAGGUGAAAUAGACUGAUAAUAUUUUUAAUCACUAUAGUUAAUUUCUUGCCCUGACUGACUGCUAUAAGAAGAAAGGAUCUGCACCCAGCCUGUAACUGCUCUUGAAAACAGCAACAAUGAGCUAGGAAGAGGAGCAACUGAUGACAAGGCCAUGGGGAACAUGCAUGGGGAGCCAUCGCUGGUAAUCACUUGUUUCUUUUAUCUGUGAUGCCUCCAAAAAGGUGUCAACAUUGCAUGCGUGAAGCUCCCAGGACAAGACCUGGCCUGCAGCAGCUACUCUCAAGCUGCUAGCCAUCGUCACUCCAGCAGAAAACACGCCAGGCAUGGCACGCUCACCCUGAUGCCAGCAACAAGUGCCAAGUGACAAAAUGUGCCUGGUGUUGGCUGGCAUGGCGACCCCCUCGUGAAGAAGUCAGGUUGCGGCUACCAGUGGCGGCUGAGGGUAACAUGGGGCAGCUUUGUGCAAGGACUGGCAACAGGCACCCAGGGAAGGUCACCAAAGCAGAGCCCGGGUCCCCGUCAAGCCCUUACCCAAGCCACGAGCAAAACCUCUUGGCUCUGCCUCCAAAACACACCCAGAAUCUGACCCCUUCUCAUCACCUUCACUGCUGUGGUCUGAGCCAUCCCAUCUCUGGACUCAAUGUAACGAUUAGGCCACGUUUUCAACAUACAAGAAGACGUGGAGCUGACUCUGAAGGUGCAGCCUGGAGAAAACAGAAACACUGAGAUGCAGGACGUACGAGAACCUUCCCUUCCUUUGCAGACAGCAGAGAAGAGAAAAGACGGCGAAGUGAGCAGCUUCCAGGGGAAUGACAGCCCGUUCAGAGAUGGCCACGGGGCUUUUCAAGAACUGACACGUCUAACACUCCGCUUGGCAGCUGUUGGCAUGGCUGCACGUAUGUUCCCUUCCGUCCCUCCAAACCUUUGCUUCUUUUUCUUUUUCGCUUUGCGUACAAUGACCUUAUAAAUGUUUCUUUUUUGGUUUCUUUGCUCUUUUCACGGUGGGCUGCAGUGAGUGGGGAAGACGGGUAAAAGGGACUGAGUUCCAAAUUUAGGCCAGCUCCACGCAGGACGGGUCGCCGUGUGCAAAAGUGCGCAAAUCCACAGCGCGGAUCGGUCAUCAGCAGCCGGCGAGGUCUGCGGCGACCUUUGGAAUCUCCCCACAUCGGGCAGGCAGAGCAGGGCCCGAGCCCCGUCUCCUGCGCAGCAGGGCAGCUGCAGCCUCCUCGACACCGAGCUACUCAGUACGUUUUUCUGAAGUGUGCAUAAAAUUGUGACUCAAAGGGACAUCUCAUCCCUACAGGAAAUAAGACAAAAAACAUUUCGACCCAAGCAAUAGCCUCUCCUCUAGCCUCAGACCUUGACCUCCCAGUUCCCUCCAUCUUCCCUCUGCUCCUUGUUCAUCGGCGACCACUCUCGCGCCCGGACCGUGUAGACGCCGGCCACGGCUCCAUCUCGGCCUCUCAUCGCCGUCUUUCGGAAACUGCAGGCUCCAGAGGAGGCAGGACGGGCCAGGAACACAGAGGCGCUGACCCGUCUUCAAGCCCGAGCGCCCGGCCUGCGCGCCACGGCCCCCACGGCCCCC